rnacentral:misc_RNA from 1 species
UAAUUAUAUAUCUUCAUAUUGCACGAAAUUUAUUCUAUUACUCAUUUAAAUUAAUUCAAGUAUGAUCAAUUGGUGUAUCAAUCUUAUUUUUAUCAAUAGCAACAGCAUUUUUAGGUGCAAUAGUAAUCACAAAUUUAAUUUCAGCAAUUCCAUAUAUUGGUCAAUUUACCGUUGAAUGAAUUUGAGGAGGAUUUUCAAUUAAUAAUGAUACAUUAAAUCGAUUUUAUUCAUUUCAUUUCAUUUUACCAUUUAUUAUUUUAUUAAUAGUAUUUAUACAUUUAAUAAUUUUACAUAUUACAGGUUCUUCAAAUCCUAUUCAUUCAAAAAUAAAUAUUUACAAAAUCAAUUUCCAUCCAUAUUUUACUAUUAAAGAUUUAAUCACCAUUAUUUUUACAUUUACAAUAUUUAUAUUAAUUAAUUUACAAUUACCUUUCAUAUUAAGAGAUCCUGAUAAUUUUAAAAUAGCAAAUCCUAUAAUUACACCAAUUCAUAUUAAACCUGAAUGAUAUUUCUUAUUUGCAUAUUCAAUUUUACGAACAAUUCCAAAUAAAUUAGGAGGUGUAAUUAUAUUAUUUAUAUCUAUUUUUAUUUUAUAUAUUAU